UGAUAUGCUUUUACGAGUCUUAUAACAUAUUUUCCGUUCAUUGGAACAGUAUGGAAUAAUCGCAACAUUUUUAUCAGGGAAGUUAUGGAUAUGAAAUUAUGAAUCUGUAUAAAGUUACUGGAUGGAUGUAGCUUCGUUUGCGGUUAUAGAAUUCUUACACUUUUGACAUCUGUAUAAAAUAAAUAAUAAAAUAAA